rnacentral:lncRNA from 1 species
CACACUCAUACACACAUAGACAAACAAAGUAAGCUCACAACCAUAUUUCUUACAGAUAAAAAAACUAAAAUGAUAGAGAGAUAAAAAAAAUAAAAAAUGUAACAUUUUAUUGAAGAUCAAAAUGAUGGUUACAACCACUGAGAAAAGAAGGAAAAAAGAAGAAAUAACAAUUUUAAAAGAUACUAUUUCUAUGUAGGUGAUCUAAAGAUAUUAAAUAACACUCCUCAAGAGCUCAAUUGCUUCCUCCAUUUGAGUGGUGAAUUUCUCGCAGAACUAUCUGAACUUCCAGUUGUUCGAGGAGAAUGCCACUCACCAUUGAAGCAACCUCAAAUGGUGAUGUCAUCUUUUUUAGCAGAAGAUAGACCAUCAUCCAUAGCAGAAGAGUCUCAAAGAGGUUUGAAAACCAAUGUAGGAAGUUUGAGAGAUGAAUGAAAAUGACAGAUAAGAAAACUAAAAAACAAUUGGGGUAUAAAUAGCUAUAUUUUUUUUUUGAGUGAUUCAUUUUGCGAAGAGAAAAAGUGAUGAUGAGAGUGAGGAAGAAGACGAAGGGUGAGACAAAAACAUGCACACAAAAAUAUUAACAAAAACUUUAUGACAGAUGGAACAAUCUAAAUGCUCAAGAUGAUUAGUGGAAGAAGAUGAG